rnacentral:rRNA from 1 species
GACGAGGGGUCCUAGCGUUGUUCGGAAUCACUGGGCGUAAAGCGUAUGUAGGCGGCUUUCUAAGUCGGUUGUGAAAUCCCAUGGCUUAACCAUGGAAUUGCAUUCGAAACUGGAGAGCUUGAGUGUGGGAGAGAUUGGUAGAAUACCUGGUGUAGUGGUGAAAUACGUAGAUAUCAGGAGGAACACCGGUGGCGAAGGCGGAUCUCUGGGCCGAUACUGACGCUGAGGAGCGAAAGCGUGGGGAGCGAACAGG